rnacentral:misc_RNA from 1 species
CUGCAGACAGUCCUCGAGUGUCCCGCUGCCUUGUUUACUCUGGUAGUCGAGUGUCUGCUGCCGACUUGUUGUCAAAUGACAAGAGAGGUCCGUGUCCUGCACACCUUUAGUCUGACAGAGAAACACCUGGCCUUGCACUGGCUCCUGCAGGUGGGGACAUUUUGAAGCAGCGGCACUGGCCCGAUGACGGGAAGCUAUAAAACUGUGUUAAUGCCCACGGCACGAGGAAGAUCAGGCGAGUGUGUCACCAUAUCGCACGUUUAAGGUCAAAGGUCAUGGGGUGCGGCGCGAGCGUCGAGGUCAAUAUCGAUCCGAUCAAAGUGCCCGAUACAGAGGAUGGUUACCCUCCCCCGUUCCCUCCAUCCAAAAGCAAGAAAGAAGUGUUUGUGAAAGAAAACAAUCAACAAAUUGAUGAAUAUGCCAAACAGGCACCAAGGAGUCUCAAUUCCAGCUACUCAACGUUGAUAGAAUAUUUGAUGAGAAAUACGAAGUCAGACAUCGACAAAGUCAGGUCCAUUUUUGCUUGGAUGUCAGCACAGAAAAUAUAUGAUAUGAAAUAUCCUCAUGUCAAGGAUGGCCAUUCACCGGAGGGCUACAUGAAGCUCAUCAAGCAGGAAGAUGGACACCACUCAUAUUUUUUCGCUUUGUUGUGCAGGGCGGCAGGGAUUCCCUGUGUUGUCCUCAGGGGCCCUUGCAAACCAGUUACUUACGAGGUGGGGCAGCAGGACGUGUCCAACCUUCGUGGCACCUGGAACGCCGUGUAUGUGGACGGGUCGUGGCGGUUUGUGCACCCUUACUGGGCACUAGAGGGCGUGAGUGGCUUCAACACGGGGACCUGGACCAAGGUGGAAGAAGGUGGACAGGCUGUCAGACAAAGGGAAAAGGCAUCCGGAGGACAAAAGGUGUACCACCUGGAGGAGUUUUGGUUCUUUACUGACCCAGAGAAAAUGAUGUACCACUGCCUGGAAGAAAGACCCCAGUGGCAGCUGCUGCAAAAUCCGUGGACCGUAUAUACCUUUGUAAAUGUCCCUUACUUCACUAGACGUUACCACGACAGUGGGUUCAAGCUGGUGUCUAAACAUGCUGCGAUUUUGAAAUCUGAAAAAGGGGAGGUCAACAUUAAAUUUCGCCACGAUAGCGACAGCAGUGCCACUGUGGAUUAUUCGCUCUUCUUCAAUGAAAAGGCCUCCAUGGAGCAGAUCCCCAAAGAACUGCAGCUGGACAGGUACGUGGUGAAGCUAGAUGACCAGAAGACCCUGAAGAUACGUUUCCCCGUGGUGGGCAUCUACAAGGUGACAGUGUCAGGAAGCUCGAGUUACACCUCCUUUGACCUGUGUGACAUUCGACUGGAGUGCGACGCCGUCCUCAAACAGGUUCAGCCGUUUCCCAUCAACCCUCCUAUUGGCUUCGGCUUUGGUCGAAAAGCCGAAGGAGCUGGUUUGUCCAAGCCGUCGCAGGUCAAAGGGGUCAUGGUGGUCAAGCAAUCUGAAAAAGUAAAGUUCCAGUUCGACUGCAAAGAGAAGGUGGAGAUUCAAGCAAUGCUCGUGCACAAGGACAUGGCGGCGUCCGAGCUGACGUCAUACGUCACACAGAACCACGACGACGGCAACGUGACCAUCGAGGUCACUGUGCCCCAGCACGCGCACAACCCCGAGUAUGCCCUGCAGGUCAACACGAGGCCGGCAGGAUCUCGCCAAAACUUUGAAAACGUCGUCAACUACCUGCUGACCCACGACAAACAGGAGCUGGAGAAGAAAGAGACUAACGAGAAGCAAAAGAUCAGAGAGGAGCUGGUAGCUGCCACAGAGAAAAAUGACAUCGAGUCUCUAGAGAACGCGGUCAUCAAGUUUGAAGAAGCUGGUCUCCCCGACAAUGGCGACCUGGAGAAGGCAAAGGCGAAGCUUGUCUCUCUUCAUGAACAGGAGCUGCGGAAGGCCAUGGCAAGCCAGGACCUUGAGGAGCUGGACGCUGCGUUGGAGCGCGCGGUGAAGUCACGUGUCUCGUCUCGACUGGACAAGAACCUGCUGAUGAAGGCCGACAAUCUAAGAAGUCGGUUGGUGCGGGCCCGCCUGCUGAGAAUCCUCAAGCUGAAGCAGUCCACAGUGUCCGAGAUCCUCAGUUACAGUCGGCCGCAACCUAUUGUACACAGCAUCAUGGCAGUGACCUACCUCCUGCUGGGCGAGAAGGAGCGGAACCUCAAGCGAUGGGAGUUCAUCCAGUCAUUGCUAAGGAAGCAGGGAAAGGAAAGCCUUAUUCGUCGUGUCAAGCAAUUCGACUUCGACCACCUCAAGGUCCCUAGAAUGCAGAAAGCGGAAGGGAACCUGAGCGCAUGCCCAGAGCCUGACGCGCGCCUGUCGAGUGCCGGAGCUGGAACUUUCUAUGUGUGGAGUCGUAACAUUGUUCAAGAGAAGAAGAAACAAGAGAAGCUGGUAGCAUCUCGCUGAUGUGUGACACAAAUCGAGAGAUCUCUGUCACGUGUGACAUGAGUGGAGCUGUCACUGUAUCCCACGUGACAUGAGUGGAGCUACAUUAGGCCUCGUUUGUGACAGAAAAUCUUGCUUUAGAAUCUGUAAGUAGUUUUAAUGUAUUUAAGUGUAAAUUAAUGUAUACUUGCCGGAACAAAGGACGAAUAAAUAACAGAAAGACAGUGUAUAAGUUGCUAUAAUUAUCAAUAUUAUUGUUUGUAUUUAUCCCCACUACAUCUCUUUUGUCGGUGCCGUGACGGCUGGAAGUCGACCCACUCAGUCCAACACAGUUGUUUAUUCUUAUAGUUGCUUAAUGUUUGAAAUUCGCCCUAUUUUUUUUUUCUUUCGAUUUUGCUCUUGGGGGGCUCGCUAUGGUACUUGCUGUCUUGUAUUCAGGGUGGCCACAAGCGGCAGGUUGACUAAAAGUCGACUAAAGGCGAAGUAUUAGGGUUUACAUAACCAUAACAGCAAUAAAGCACAAGACUUUGUUUCAUCACCCAUAUUUAGCUAAAUUAUCAAUCGUUGGCGGUGUUUUCUCGUGUUGUUACCUACAGCAAGGGUAGCGCCGGUAGAAUAGAGAACUCAUAGUCUUAACUCACAUGUUUAAAUGCUCCAUGUCAAAAUAUUGUAUAUCAACAGAGUCCCUCAGUGUCUUUCUUCUGAGCUUUAUCUUGCAUAGUUAGUUGUCUGUGUUUGUUUCGUAUGAAGCCUGCGCCUCGUAUGCUCCAUAAACACGGAAAAUUCACAUACAAGGUAAGGGAAGUAACUGCGUCAGUAAAGAACAUGAUAGCGUCCCUUAGACGUUAAAUGUCGGAUCUGAAGGGCAGCCUGGGCUUGUCAACAACAGGAACUAAGACUUGUAGAAUUAUGGUGUAUUAUACUUUAUUGUCAACGACGCACAAAGACUUGUAGCAUUAUGUUGUGUUAUGUUGUAUUCUCACAAUUACUUUGUUUAUGGCAGUGCAUGUGCGUACAUGUGUUUAAGGAAGGGGUGAUAUUCUGUGUGUGUGUGCGCGCAUGCAUGAUCAACAUCUGACAUGUUUGUAAAUGUUCUUGCAUGAGACAAAGAUGUGUUUUUUGUGUGGUCUGUGUUUAUACAAACGAAAAAGAUUGAUUGGUGUAUUUAUUAAACAUUGAGGACGAAACAUCAGCCAGAGCACUUACAAAGUGUACAGAGGGAAUCAAGAUAUCAACUCCUAAGAUCGACAACACUGUAUUUAAAAUAAGUAGACAUUACAGAAGCACUUCAGCCGAUUGUUAAGAUUUCUGUUAAUUUUUUUUUCAAAGAUUGAUAAAAAUGUACUUAUAUUUUUUUUCCAUCAAUCAUUGUAACUGGUCUCAUGAAAACGUUUCCACUUUUACGGGGUUAGACCCAUUUGUAGUAAGAAAAUAUUGUUUAUUUUAAGUACAAAGAUAAAAUAAAAUAAAUGUAUUUAAAUAAA